CAGGAGCCCUAAGCUGUGCCCAUCUGGGCAGAGGAGACCUCCUCCUAUCAUCACUGGUCUAAGCAGCUUAUACAUGUCCUGGCUUGCCCUGACAUGUUUUUCUGCUGUCCCUCCUUCCAUUGUGAGGAGAAGCAACCGUGGGAAAGAGGACAAAGAACCUGGAGCCACUGAGUCUAGAGACUCUGGCUUGCCCAGAGUUGUUUACAUCCUGUGGUAAACAAGGAACAGGCUCUAAAUGCCUCCACCUGAUGGGCCUGCACAGCCAGCGUGACAUCCUGCUGAGACUGCACAUCACAAGACAUCCUGCCUACGCCUGAAAGUCUCCUGCCUACGCCGGGAAGUCCUGGAGCUACAUGGAUCAUUCAGAGAAGCCAGGAUACGGCCAGAGAUUGUCUGUCUCCUUUCCCCAGCACUCUAUGUGAAUUGUGGGAAGAAUCAGAAGUCUCAGUGGCUGACAAGGCAGUAGCUGAAUUCCCUGAAAGCAUUUGAGUACUGUCUGAAGCUGUAGCUGGCCCCAUGAGUUGGGAGAUAAUUUUGUGGGUAAAUACUUAAAGCCUCUUGCCAUUCACCAUUGCCUUCUGCCAUAAGCAGAAAGGGGCUCCUGGAGUCCAUCUAGAAAGCAAGCAGUAUACUGACCACAAGCAGUGUAUUGACCACAGGAACCUUCUUUUCUGGUUCAAUUAAUGUUAUAUGUUUUUGCUAGUUACUUCUAAACCUAGUUAUUGCUCUGUAGAAUGUUUCCAUGACCAUGCAAAGAAUCAGUUAUUAUUAACAUUGGUGUUUGGGGGGGGAGAAUCCUGAAUAUCAAAACUAAUAAAUGAUAUUAAUUUUGGAAAAAA